GGGAGGUCCCCCGACUCCGGCCCGGCUGGCCCAGCGCGGCGGGGAUGGGGUCACUGCGGCGGCAGCCAGGCCGAAGCCGGGGUCCCAGCGCUGCGCGGCGGCGGCUCCAUCUCCAUCAUCAGGGGCUUCACCUGAGGAGGGACCGGCCCCCCCGCCGAGCCCCCCCCAUCACGGCCAUUCCUCCCCCCCCACUCCGGAAUAACUUCCGGUCCCACUACCAGGCGACAGGCGACUGGGCCAAACACCGAGCGCCCCCAAGCCGGGGAGACUGCGGAGGGAAAAAAAAAAAAAAAAAAAGGAGAGGAGCUAGGGGAGAAUAGCCGAGCGCCGAAAGAUGCAUCUCCAGGUCCAUCAGUUAGGCGGUGUGCCGCCGCAGAUGGUAGCCGACCUGAGGAGGGAGACCCACUCCUCGAUUUCCCAGCGGCUGCACCCACUAGCUGUGGGUUACCUUACGCCUCCCUCUUGCAACAUGUUCACUGUCCAGGAACACGAGGUCCCAGCCAUAACCUUAAACAGACACUUUAUUGGUAUAUAUAUAUUUUAAAAGUCGAGCUCUGAGAGGGAAACCCCCUUGCAUCCCAUAGGCAGUAGAAAACUGUAAUGUAUGGUUCUUACACAGUCUACACACAUUUGGCUGGAGCAUCUGAGCGAUGCAAAAGUAAGGCCCCGGGUGGGGAGGUGUUAGAAGUGGAGGUGUGGUAGGAGGAGAAAGCAAUGUCUUCAGAACUGCUUUCUCACCUCCAGACUCUCCAACCGCUCUCUCCUGGCAGAGGCAGAGGCCAGGAGAGUCCAUGUUCCUGUGUGGAGAUGUGCAACGUGUGUGCCUGGGUACAGUUUAAGAAGACACAGCGAAUACGGGGUCAGGGCCCAAGAAGAGGACGGGGAUGUUUUCCCAUGGCAACGAGGAUCAAGGAUGGGCUGGGAAGUCUGGGUGGUUCUUUGGGUACAGACGGCUCUGUUCCACGCUUUUAUGGAACCACGCGAACGUGGACACGGUGCCAGGCAUUGCUGAGUACGCCUCGCAGGUUCCAGAUGGGGGCUACGGUGUCCGGCUGCACGUUGUAACUGUCAUCCACAGCUUUACAAAUGAUGUUCAACUCCUUUUGCUCGGCUGGCACCCGAGCUUUCACCUGCCAUAUUCGCCAAGCCCAUGCCUUCCUGGGACCUUGUUCCUCUCCCUCUAGCUCAGCUUCCUGCCAGGUGAGUCCGCCAUCUACGGACACAUCCACUCGAAUCACGGCCCUACCACCACCGCUCCAUGCGUAGCCCUUGAUCGUCACCUCUCCUGACUCCACAGUCGCCCCAUCUUGAGGCUGCGUGAUAGCCGACUGGAUUGGUAGUUCCUGGAUUGAUGGGGCCAGAUCAAAGUCUACCGUGUUCCAGUCCACGGACGGAGAGAAGCCUUUGUAAUCCCGCCUCUGCCAGUGGCUGUGACUUUCCUCUGACUCCACGCUCACUUUGGCCAGCCACUUGACGUUGCGGGCACCCACCACACCGGGAACCACCACCCGUAUGGGGAAACCGUGGUCACGAGGCAGGGGCUGACCAUUCAUUUCAUACGCCAAGAGGACCUCGGCUUCAGGAUCCAGGGCCCGAGCCAGAGGGAUAGAUGCUCCAUAGGCAGUCCCCGUGGGGUCCGAGUCAAGUCCCUCAAAACAGACAUGGGCCUCGGUUUCACGGACUCGGUGGCCAGCCUGGGCUAACACGUCACAGAGUCGUGCCCCAGCCCAGCGGGCGGUGCUGAUGGCUCCUGUCCGCCACUCCAGACCUUUCACUUCCUUAACCUUACUCAUCUCAGAGCGACGGUUGCCAGCACACUGCAGAGUGACGGUGAUCUCAUGUUUAGGAAACUUAUACAGAUCAUCCAAGGACAGGGACAGCGACUGACCUCCAGGCGCCCCUACUACGUGCAAGCGAUAGGUGUCUGGGUCCACAUUAGGUACAGGCAGAUGGUUCCGGGUGAAAAAAAUAGGGUUUGGCGUGAUGUAGUUUUCCGUCAGCAGUUCAGGAGGAGGCUCUGCGUUAAAGGGGCGCUGGCUAUUAAUCCUCAGGGCUGGAUGACGGACAGGAUCAUCAGCAUAAGGGUCAGAGGCCUCCAAGGCGGGGGGUGACACGUUAUCCUCAGGGUUCAGUUCCCCAAUCUUAUACUCGGCCAGUAACUCACGUACAUGGGGCUGGUUGUGGAAAGCAUACAGGGACCAGAAGGGCUCUAGGGGACCCCCUGCUGCCAGGAUCAGUUUUGAUGGUCCUCCUGGGUGUAGGUCCACAAAUUCUGUGACAUCAAAGACCUCAGAGCCUAGAGUUACCCAGACUCCAGUUUCGGGGCUGUUGUGGGACCUCACUUCCUCUUUGGUGUACAUCCGUGGUGACUCCUGAGCAGCCUACAGGUAGGGGAGGGAGAAAGCAAAAGGAACAGCAUAUUAAAUCACUCUAGAUCAUUCUGACACCAUCCAUCCAUAGUCUUAGACUGGGAAAUUAAAGGAACAGAUAGUAUGUCUGUAGUGCAUGAAGACAGAGCUGGCACCGGGAAGAGCGCGUGAGAUCCCUCUGCCCCUUUCCUGCCUACCUUGCAGCGAAGGUCAUGAUAGGCCAGCACUGCGCCAAGGCCCAGCAGGGUCCCCAUGACUUUCCACCCCUGAGUUCUUGAGUUUUCAUCAGAAAAGGUGAGGCUGGGGUGCUGGGGUUUAAAUGAAUCAUUUGUGGAGCAUGCUGGGAUGCAGAGCCUCGAGGGGGUUGUCUUGACUCUGGAAGAAAGAGAUCUUUAGUAGCACAACAAGUCCUGUGGAAAGGACCAUCGGAGGUCUGUGGCUGCCUCUCCCUCAUUAGUCACCAGCUUUCAGUUGGAGUUUAGUUUCUUCCGGAUGGGUAGGACCAGUGAAACACAGCUUUCUCUUUCCUCCAGGGCCAUUUCUGUACCAUCUUAUCUUCCAGAUAAGAUAAAUAUCUGCCAGAUACGGUAAUUACGAGAUAGUCUAGGAGAUAAGUAACGGGGCCCGGGAUAACCUACCUGAGGGCCUGUGGAAGUCCCACCACCACAGUUCGGUACAGCCGAAGCAGCAUUGUGGCGGACCUACAGGGAGAAGAUUCUGGGUUUCAGAACAAGAAAACCCCUGCGAGGGGACAUUUGGGGGGACUGAGAAUGCAGGGUCCAAAUGGGUUCUUGGAGUAAACUUGGAGCACUUCAGAGGUUGGCUGUGCUGAAGAGGCGGAAGGGAAUGGGGGUGGAGUGGGGAUGAGGGAGGUACACAGGCUUCCAGAGAGAACAAUGCCCCAGGCCAAGGAACGAAAGGACACAUGCAGGUUUGCCAAUUAAAAAAAAAAAAAAAAAAAAGAUACUGGGUAUUGAACCCAAGGCCUUGAGAAGGUUAGACAAGUGCUCUACCACUGAGCUAUCCUCCCAGCCCCAGUUUGUAAUUAUCUCUAAAGUGAGACCCCGAUGAAAACCGAGACAAGAGGGUAGCGGUAACCUAAUGGGGUAGAGUUCAAAUUCUAGAAGCAAACCGCCUUGGGUAUGUACAACCAGGCCUGGUCAUUAAAAGGCUCCCCGGGCAACACAGUAGGCCUCCCUGAAACUGUAUCCUCAUCUCUACCCUGAUACCAAGAGUAAACAAGUAAUAACAUUCA